AUGGAAAGAAGCCCACAGUUUCAGGUAUUUAUGAAGAAAUAUAUUAGAACAAUGACAACAAAAAUAUUUGCUGACCGCUGUCUCAAUAAGAAGGAAGGCUGGGAGGCCAAAGCAGGUGGAUCACGAGGUCAAGAGAUUGAGACCAUCUUGGUCAACAUGGUGAAACCCCGUCUCUACUAAAAACAAAAACUUAGCUGGGCACGGUGGCAUGUGCCUGUAAUCCCAGCUACUUAGGAGGCUGAGGCAGGAGAAUUGCCUGAACCCAGGAGGCGGAGGUUGCAGUGAGCCGAGAUCGCGCCAUUGCACUCCAGCGUGGGUAACAAGAGCGAAACUCUGUCUCAAAAAAAAAAAAGAAGGCAAGAACAAAACCAAAUCGACCCAAUCCUGAUUGGAGCAAAAAUGUGAGAACAAAAACCCUAUUUUAAGGCAACCAAAGAAUAUAGAAAGUGACUUCUACGACUCACCUGUCAAAGGUGAAUACUCUUGUUUCUGAAGACAAGCCAUCUGAGAGAUCAUAAAUGCUUGAUAGUUUUUUUCUACAGGCAUUAGAACAGGACAAUUUAAGGUUAACAAAAAAGUACACUGAGGUUUUACACUUACUUUGGUCAACUUUUGCCAAUUUCUGCUGUCACAUAUUUUCUUACCAAUAAAAUAGUACCAUUGUUACAUAAAUUGCUUAUUCUGCUUACCAUGGAAAUUUUCUAUCAAUCUGUAAACAUGACAAAACUAUAUUAUAAAAUAGUUUCUGGGGUCUAUAUUUUAAAAAGGUUUUCCCAAGUUUUAUAUUAUGAACUCUUACAACUCUAUUCUAUGGUUUUACACUGAAUUUUUUUAUUCAUAUACAAUCCUCAUAUUCUCCUAUUUAAGAACUUGUUUCAUGUGCAUUCUUGAAUAAAAUUUAUUUAGAAAGUUAAUGUUUGAUGACUUUUUAGAUGUUUGAAUAAUAUUCUAAUGUGAAUAACAGUCUAUAUUUUACUGCAGGCCUUUUUAUGUUUAUUCUAGAUUUUAGAUUAUGGUUAUUGUGUGGAUUAUAUUAAACUAGAAAAAAAGGAGACAGGACAGAGUAAGUCAAUGAGUAUUUCUCUUCUACUUUAGAGGGAUUUUAAUUAAUCAUAGAAACUUACUGAAAAUACUCCAUUGUUUUCCAAUAUUUUAAGUACCAAAAAGCUAAAUGACAUCCUGACACUUGUUAGUUUAAAAGAAAAUAUCAAAGAAAACUUUUUAUUUGGUUGCUUUCCGGCAUUUAACAAAGGAAAGAAGCUGGGAAAGAGGGAAAAAAUGAAAGUAGAGUAAAUAUUCUACUUAUUCUUUCUCUAUAUUAUAAGAAAUUAAUGUCAAACUUUCUCUCCUGUGAGUUUAGGAACAUACCAUGCCACAUAUUCAUAUCAUUUAUCAUCAACCUGAGACAGUUUUGAGAGUGAAAAAGAAUAGUUCCAUAAUUAUUCUAGGAAAGCCCGCAUAAAACAGGAAUCUGCCACGCAAACUAGAAAGCAUAGCUAAAAUACUAUAAUGGCUUGUCUUUAAAACAUUAAUUCACUUCUAUUUUAUGAAAUAUUAAAAUAUAAUUUUUCUUCUAGUAGUUUCAUAUCUUAGAUUUGUCUUUAAUUCAUUUUGGUUUUAUUUUUGUACAUGAAGAAAGAAAGGGACCUUGUUUUGUUCUUCAGAUGGAUAUCCAGUUUCCCAGAACCAAUUAUUGAAUAGAUUGUCCUUUCCCUAAUGUACAUUCUUGGUGCCUUUAACACAAAUGAUUUGACUGUAAAUGCAAGGAUUUAUUUCCGGGUUCUCUAUUCUGUUCCAUUGGUCUAUGUGUCUGUUUUUAUACCAAUACCGUGCUGCCUUGGUUACUAUAGAUUUGUAGGGUAACUUGAUUACAGGCAAUGUGAAUACUCCGGCUUUAUUCUUUUUGUUAAUUUCUAAGUUUUGUGGCUACAUGGUGGAUGUAUGUAUUUGUAAGGUACACGAGAUAUUUUAAUACUCAUGCAUUGCGUAAUAUAAAGUCAUGUAAAAUAGGGUAUCCUUCCACUUAGGAAUUUAUGCUUUGUGUUACAAACAAUUCAAUUAUAUCCUUUUAGUUAUUUUAGAAGGUAUAGUUAAAUUAUUAUUGACUACAGCCACACUUUUGUAAUAUCAAAUACUCAGUCCUAUAUCCCCACCUCCUUCCCACUUUCCCAUUACCCUUCCCAGCCUCUCAUAACCAUUCUUCUAUUCUCUAUCUUCAAAAAUUCAGUUGUUUUAAUUUUUGAAUCUCACAAGUGAGAACAUGUGACGUUUGUCUUUCUGUGUUUACCCCAUUGCAUUUAACAUAACGACCUCCAGUUCUGAUGGCAGUGGUGGCCUAUCUGGAGUGGCAGCUGC
rnacentral:lncRNA from 1 species